UACGUAGGUGGCAAGCGUUGUCCGGAUUUAUUGGGUUUAAAGGGUGCGUAGGCGGCUUUGUAAGUCAGCGGUGAAAUACUCUAGCUUAACUAGAGGGGUGCCAUUGAUACUGCGGAGCUUGAGUACAGAUGAGGUAGGCGGAAUUGACGGUGUAGCGGUGAAAAUGCAUAGAUAUCGUCAAGAACACCGAUAGCGAAGGCAGCUUACUGGGCUGUAACUGACGCUGAUGCACGAAAAGUGUGGGGGAUCAAACAGGG
rnacentral:rRNA from 1 species